GAUGAACGCUGGCGGCGUGCCUAAUACAUGCAAGUCGAGCGAACGGACGAGAAGCUUGCUUCUCUGAUGUUAGCGGCGGACGGGUGAGUAACACGUGGAUAACCUCCCUAUAAGACUGGGAUAACUUCGGGAAACCGGAGCUAAUACCGGAUAAUAUUUUGAACCGCAUGGUUCAAAAGUGAAAGACGGUCUUGCUGUCACUUAUAGAUGGAUCCGCGCUGCAUUAGCUAGUUGGUAAGGUAACGGCUUACCAAGGCAACGAUGCAUAGCCGGCCUGAGAGGGUGAUCGGCCACACUGGAACUGAGACACGGUCCAGACUCCUACGGGAGGCAGCAGUAGGGAAUCUUCAGCAAUGGGCGAAAGCCUGACGGAGCAACGCCGCGUGAGUGAUGAAGGUCUUCGGAUCGUAAAACUCUGUUAUUAGGGAAGAACAUAUGUGUAAGUAACUGUGCACAUCUUGACGGUACUGAAACAGAAAGCCACGGCUAACUACGUG
rnacentral:rRNA from 1 species